rnacentral:tRNA from 1 species
GGGCUCGUGGUCUAGCGGUUAUGACGUCUCCCUGACACGGAGAAGGUCCUGAGUUCAAAUCUCAGCGGGCCCA